UCAAACUUGGUCAUUUAGAGGAAGUAAAAGUCGUAACAAGGUUUCCGUAGGUGAACCUGCGGAAGGAUCAUUACAAACCGCACUGUAAAAAGUGUGUAUCGUCUCCUCACGGGGAUAUCCUUUGUCUACGAGUACCCGUUUUUCCUCAGCAGGCCUGCCUGCUAGGGGACACUUUUUACACUUUUUUACAAUAUCUGUCUGAACAAAACCAAUUUAUUACAACUUUCAACAAUGGAUCUCUUGGCUCUGGCAUCGAUGAAGAACGCAGC
rnacentral:misc_RNA from 1 species